GCCUUCGUGGCUCAGCUGGUUAGAGCGCCGGUCUCAUAUAUUCUCUCCACUAAGUUGUAGUAAAUAUGACCGCAUCGAGCGGGUCAUCCGGAGAUCGCCAGUUCGAUCCUGGCCGAGGGCA